GCGGUCGUGGUGAAACUGGUAGACACGAUAGACUUAGGAUCUAUUGCUGCGAGGCAUGGGGGUUCGAGUCCCCCCGACCGCA
rnacentral:tRNA from 1 species